GGCUGGUCCAAUGGUAGUGGGUUAUCAGAACUUAUUAACAUUAGUGUCACUAAAGUUGCUAUACAACCCCCCACUUCUAAAUUUGACUGGCUUUUA
ensembl:Y_RNA Y_RNA Y RNA